CGGUGCACGCGCGUACACCGCCGCCACCGCCGUGAUGGCGGAGCUACCUCAGCCCGACAUGUCGCACCUCACCCCCGAGGAGAGGCGCAUCAUAGAGAAUGUUUUAAUGCGCCAAAAGGAAGAGGAGAAGCAGGAUAUUGAGGCCAUGAGACGAAAGCAAGAUGAGGUGCAAGUCCUCGAGGAAUCGAUACGGAUACGUUCGGAGAUACAUAAGAAAGCGGGGGUAGAGCUGAACGCCACGUGCCACAUAUGCCUGAAAACCAAGUUCGCCGACGGUGUCGGUCACAUCUGCAACUACUGCGAGAUCCGGUGCUGCGCACGCUGCGGCGGGAAGGUUACCCUACGGUCUAGCAAGGUAAUAUGGGUGUGCAUACUUUGCCGGAAGAAGCAGGAACUUCUUUCGAAGACCGGACAAUGGAUGUCGAAAACUGGCCUCGGCGCCGCGGACACCGCGAUGCUGCGGCAGAUGCAGGACAUGCAGGUGGGUGGUCCUCAGGGACUCGCGGACCAAACUCAGGAUAAAAGACCGAAACUCGAGAGGGCGCACAGCGCGGCUGAGAAAGAGAAUUUGCCGUUGUUACAGAGAAGUGGAAACUGUCCGCUCAGAAGACAGUACUCCCAGCAGGAACAGCUCUCGGGUCGCCGAAUAUCCAGCGACAAUGGGAUGGAAAUUUCGCCUCACUCGAGAACUUUACCGACGCCGCAUGUGGUGGUUGGCUCUUACCCGGUGCAACAAACUCCGAGACACCCUGCAGCCUACCCUGACGACGAUCCCAGUUUGUAUCGAGGCGAGAUCGACGGUCUGAUGAGACAGCACCCGCAGAAUUAUCAGAAGCAACGGUCUUAUCAGGAUCAGAGCGCGGAUCUCGGGAUGACUUAUGGUCAGUCGCCGAUGGAAUCUGGUUCCGUUCGUAGCGCAAUGCAUCUCUCUCAGCAGCAUUCGAUGCACCAAAUGCAGGGCGGACGUCCUGCACAACCUGCGUCGACGGGUGUCCAGCAGCAAAGAAGUUUAAGUAGCAGCGAAGAAGAGCGAAGCACAGAGUACGCCAGCGACGAGCCGGACGAAUCGGAGAAGGGGAAGGGAUACUACCACCACGCAGGAGGUCCGAAAUCAAUGUCCAGUGGUGGGCGUAGGCACAACGGAUCCCACAAUGGGCAUCACACCGCUGGUGCUAGCCUGGACGUCGAGCAUAACGGCCACCAUCCACCGCGAGAGCCGCGAAAAGAGGAGAACACUCUCGUCAGACGGAGCUUCCGAAGAUGCGGCGACGAGUGGCGCGCCGACAGUAGGAGGUUCACGGAGAGAAGGGGGAAAAAGACAGUGCGUUUUGACGGUGGGACCAAUGUUGGCGGCUCUCAGGAGGAAUGGUCUUGGGAGGCCGAUCGACAAGGUAGCCAAGACAGCGCGACCAAAGACUCCGGGAUAGACACCUCUAGCACCUUCACGAGCAGUGAAGACAGCAACAGGGGCGAUCUGCCCAAGCAUCCAUUAUCCUGGCAAAUGAGCGAAAACGGUCAGAAGCUCAUCGGCCACAUGGUUUUGCGAAAAUCGGCCGGCUCCGGAAGCAGUAGUAGUAUACUCGGACUGAAAGUUGUCGGUGGCAAGCUGCUGGAGGACGGUUCCAUGGGCGCUGUGAUCGAGAAGGUGAAAAGGGGUAGCACGGCGGACAUAGAAGGUCAACUUAGACCCGGUGACGAAGUGAUCGAGUGGAACGGGAGAUCCCUUCAGGGCAAGAGCUUCCGGGAAGUUUACGACAUCAUUGCCGAGUCGAGGGAGGAGCCGCAAAUCGAGCUCGUAGUUGAGAGGAAGUUGUCGACGGGCAUGUUGCCUGCAGGACCGGGUCCGUCGACGCCCAUAGCAUCGAGGAGAAUCGUCGCACAGAGUCAGUGGAGACAGAAACACGAGACCAUCUCCGGACCUCAGCAACCGCAUCACAAAGGUCUUAAGAAAUCUAUUCUAUGGGACUUGUACGACACGAGGCGCGAGAAACCCUCGGUUUUAGUGACGUCGCCCGGCUCGCCGGACCUGCACGCCCAGGGACGAGGUCGGCAUUCCCGGCACCCGACCGGAAACGCGAACGUGGGCGGUAGCAUCCAGGUGAAGCUGGGCUAUGAUUCGGUCGCGGGACUGAUCGUGACGAUAGUCGGCGCCUCGGGUCUCACACCGAAGAGCAACGGCGAGCUCAGGAACCCCUACGCCAAGAUGUACCUGCUUCCUGACAGAAGCGAAAAGUCGAAACAGCGUACGAGAACCGUGGCGAAUACAAACGAUCCUCGAUGGAAUCAGUCUUUCCUUUAUCAUGGAAUCAGACGUACGGAACUGAGGAAAAGGGCGCUGGAGAUUACGGUGUGGGACUACGCGAGGUACGAGGCGAACGAUUUUCUCGGCGAGGUUGUCCUGGAAUUGGCAGUAUGUCCUUUAGACGAGGAACCAGAAUGGCAUCCUCUGACCGUUCACGGAGAACACCGGCAUGUCAGGCAUUACCAGGAUGAUGACAUGAUAGAUUGUCAUCUCAGUCCACCGUCGACCACCUCGCGAUUGAGUGACUCCGACACCUCGGAGUGCGACGCCACGGACUGUGACGUGUCGAGAGAACAAAGAAGAACAGCCGACGGUGCCAGCAUAAGUAGUAUCGGCAGUUCCUCUAGGUUUCAUAAUAUGCCGUCAAAUUAUAAGCGCCACUAUUCUAGCCCGCCGCCGGAGAGGGAGCUCUGCAUCGACGGGGAGCAUCGGAGUCGAAGAGACAUGUCGCCUCAAGGACGCAAAAGGGCUGCCCUCAUGAUCUCCCGCGACCAACCUACUUCUAUUGGAUCGAGCUAUCCGACAUAUCGUAAGGAUGACAUCCAUCGAGGAAUGAUGGGUCACCGGUCUCAUAGCGCAGCACCUAUGGACUCUCCGAGUGUCAGAUAUCGCGGAAGGUCUCAGAGUCCCACUGGUCAUCGUUCCUUGUCUCCACCCGAGCACAGAUCCAUUCCUUAUUCGCACGGAUACGUUCACACGAGAUUUGGCUCGAGAUCGGCGACUGCCACUCCGACUGGAUCGCCAAAGAAACGUCAGCUACCUCAGAUUCCGGCAGCCUUGAAGGAAAGGGUCGUGCAAGAUCUGGAAGAACGUGCGAGAUUCAUGAGGCAUCGAAACAGGCAGUCGAUAUACAGAAGCACAGGCAUGGGAGGCUGGGAAAAGCAUUACAGCGGCCUCUCGGACUCGGAUCUCCCUUCGAUCGGACACGAUCCACUAACGUUGCCGCACGUUCACAGAUUGCACAGACCGAAGAAAGGACGCUUGAGUCCCGACAAAGACGUAGUGGGUGAUUUUGGCGAUUCUGACAUGGAGAGCAUAGCCUCGGUUACGAGCAGUGCCUUUAGUACACAAUCCGAACGACCAGGUGGAUCGAGAACACUAAUGCCAGGGUGCGUCGGUCUGCUAUCGCGGCGGGCCAAGAGUUUCGAGUACGAGAGCAUUUCGAGCAACAUAUUCAGCGACGACAGUCUCAGGACGGCCCGAAGGAAGCUCAAGCGGAAUCUCUCUCUCAGCGACGCCGGAUACGGUGACAAGAUACCAGCGCUGGGCGAUCACAGCAAGUCCUACUUCGACUCUAACGGUGACGACAAAGUGCCUAGUCUCGCGAGCAAGGAGACCAAUUACGAUUUUCUCCUCGAUGACGCGGAACACAAGCCGUUUUACGGAUACGACUCAGAGCUCAGCUGCGGCGAGACGGAGAUUUACGUGCCAAGCUUCGACAAGUCCAGCAUCGAGACGACAGUCGACAGAAUCGCUGAGGCCAAAGAUUAUAAAUCCGCGUACGGUUCGCGUCCCGCGCACGACAGCGAUCUCUUCAGCGAUAACGACCGCGCCAAUCUCAGGAACAUUCUCGACAAGGAGGACACCGGCAAGAGAAAAUACGCGGACGGGAGUUAUUUGAAUCACGACACAUCAUACAUCAGAGACAUAUCUACGGAGAAGAGGACCAAGAACGUGGAGGGCGAUCUCUGUAACCCGAUCGGCGAUCAUCACAUCUACUGCAGCAUCGACGAGGCUCUGUCGUCCAGCGAGAAUUACGAGCGCAACAUUCUCGCGAGAUCCGCCACGAAGAUUCACGACGCCUCCGACAUCGACCACUGGAUAUCAAAGGACGUCAAAGAAGUCCUACGGUCGCAUGGAGGAACAGCCGGUCAUUCCUAUCGAGACAACGGGUACAAGAGUUACGAUAGCUGGGACACCGACUACGAUGAAGGAUUCAUAGACCGAGACAAGGAUUACGAGGAGAAGCAAUUCGACUAUCGAGACAAGGGCGUACGAGCUUUGAGAAGCGGCGGAUCGGCGUACGAAAGCGAGUACGACGGCGCGGAUCGUACCCGCGGGAAACGUUACGCACGGUUCGAUAACGACGGAAAGCUUGCGACGAGCGAUUACAUUAGUUAUCGUCCCUCCGACGACUACGAGUAUCAGGCUGCGCACACUAUGGGUACCAAUGAGGACGGUUCCAUGCCGCGCAGAAGAAGACGAAGAAGCAGGAGGGACAGUCGAGAGGGAGGCGUAGGUGGCUACGAGAGCUCGCAGAUCCGAGACACGGUACCAGGCGUUCAACCGAGAUUGACGGAGAGCAGGCGAUCGACGAUCCAGCGUACGGAGUCCACGCCAACCCUGCAUUCGGACGAGGAUCUGAGCUCGAUUGCGGACCGCACCAGACGCAUGUAUCGCCGCAGGCGGAACAGCAGUUGCCCAGAGAGCAGAGAUCUGCGUUUACGCGAGGGACUGUUCCGACAUAGGGACAUCGACGAGAGGACUUCGAGCUUCGUGUUGGAGUCCGACGAGGAGUUCGGCUCCGUGGAGACGGUCGUCGGCGCUGAUUAUUACCGUCGUACGUCGGGCGUGACGGGGACUCGAGCGAACGGCAUUAGAGCUUCGGGCUUCCUUCACGCGGGACAAGAUCGUGGUAGCUACUUAGACUCAAGAUACGAUUACGAGGAUCGAUAUCAGGACCGCAGUUAUCCGGGGACUCGCGAAUUAGUUAGGUCAGGGUCGCAGCGUGCUUCGAGUCGCGACGGGCGACACGCGUCGCGCACUAGGCGUAAAAGUAGCUGCCCGGAGUGCCGCGAGCUAGCGCUGUCAACUUCGGAAUUAGGUAGGUCGGGGUCGCUGUCGCGAAGGGGUGACGAUACCCGGCGUUCAUCGGUAGAGGCAAAGCAUAGAUAUCGUAGGCGAAACAGCAGCUGUCCGGAGGCUAGGGAUCUCGAAAUGCUCGAGAAGAGGCAGCGCCCGCAGCAGCUCGUGCAUCGGCAUCAGCAGCAGCUACAGCGACACCCGAGCCAGCAGCAGCAGCAACAGCAACAGCAACAGCAGCGGCCGCAACAUCAGCAGGGAAGUAGUAAGAGGAACGUGGCGAUCAGCGACACCCUCGAGUACUACGAGUACUCGAUGGAGAGCGAGAGCCAGUGCAGCGAGAACUGCGGAUUUGGCCCGUGCGAUCCGCGUAGGCCCCGUAACCGAGCACCCCGCCCCGGUAACGCUAAUUCAAGUCUCUUUGAUUCCCAAACCGCUACCUCCGACACUGCUAAAAACUACCACCCACGGGUCGACGAUCAUCACCACCAAUACCCACAAAACACGAAAACAUCGCCGCUCGCCAACGUCGUCGACGUGGCAUCCUCGUUCCUGCCACGGCCGUCGUCCUCGUCGUCCCGGCAACGAUCCCGAAAAAAAUCCGCCUACGACGUCGACGGCCACGACCGCACCAACGUCGCCGCCGCCGCUGCCGGCGCCAUCGGUCGUCGCGGCGCCGCUGACGACGCGCGGAAUCGUCGCUCCUCGUCCAUGCCCGAAAGCAGCGAGUACACCAGUCAGCCAAGCUCGUACGAGAAGACGUCCAGACACCAGGUCACCGACAACGGGCACGACAAGAGAAACCAGUUUACCAGGAGUCUCAGUAACGCCGACGUGCCCCAAGAUGAGAAAGACACGGGUAGUUUCAGCGAUACAGCGCUCGCGCUGAACGUCGACGAUACAUCGAGAAGAGGCCGCAAAAGCUCGCCUGGAAGUAAAAGCGGAAGCGGCAGCAGCAGCGGAAGCGCGGUCCAGUAUCAAGCGGGCCUGGGCAAGAAGAGUAACAGCACCAGCCAAUUAUCCGCGACAGAGUGCGGAGGGAUGUUCAUCGGCGGUGGAAGCGCCGCGGCACGCGGCCCUGGUGGCUUAGCGAGCCGGAAGCGCAACAGCACGCCGAGCAGCAUACAACGAUCCGAGGAGAUCAUGCCGAUGUAUCAGCGCUUUGACGUCGGCAAACAGGCAGGAUCGGCAGCCAGCGAUACCGCCGGAAGUCUCAACUCGAUCUCUAGUUCCGAAGGAAGCUCUUGGUCUCCCAGUCUGAGAAUGGCAGGCGAAGGACAGUUGAGAGACUUCAUCGAAGAUCUUGGACCGGGCCAGGUAGUCGGACGACAAGCACUCGGUGCCCGUUGCCUCGGCGAGAUUCAACUGUCGUUGAGCCAAACGAAGGGCUACCUUGAGGUGGAGGUCAUACGUGCCAAAGAUCUUAAAGCGAAACAAGGCAGCAAGGUGAUACCAGCUCCUUACGUGAAGCUUUACGUGGUGAACGGUAAAAGAUGUAUAGCGAAAGCGAAAACCACGACGGCCAGAAAAACGUUGGAUCCGUUCUAUCAACAAUUGCUGGCUUUCAAAGAAAACUGCCGGGGUUGCAUAUUGCAGGUGACAGUAUGGGGUGACUAUGGCCGGAUAGAGGGGAAAAAAGUGUUCAUGGGUAUUGCACAGAUCGUAUUGGAUGAGCUGGACCUCAAUCAGAUGGUGUUCGGAUGGUACAAGCUGUUUGGCACCCAAUCCCUGAAACACCACUAGUACAUCACAUAUCAUGUACGACAUAUCUCAGACGAGCCACUAGUCUGUAUGUAGACUAGAUGUAGACGUAGCAGCCAUGUUCCCGGAGCGCCAGAUAGUUUUAGAACGUCUGAAAACAAACGAAUUCAAGCGAGUUUGGGAUAGAUGAGAACUCAAAUGUGGUGUACUAGGUAAAUAAGACGCGAAACGAUCAGUGACACUCGUUUUCAGUGAAUCUAAAUGUGGUUAAGUGAAUAAGAAAUCGAUGAACACAGUGGGAUGAACAAAGAGAUAAACGAUUCAUGGACGUUUAAUCAUGCGAGAAAGAUUGAAAAUGUUGAACAGUAUACAUAUAAAUAUAUUACAAAUACUUAUGGAAGACGUUUCCAAAACUUUGUAUAUAAUUUAGGACAGUUCAAGUACUAAAUGCCGAUCUCCGAAAAUCGGUCGGAUAAAAGACACUUAUCGUUGUCAAAUUUUUAGUCAAAAAUGUCACCGUCAGAGUAUAUAUUAUUUAAUGUAAAUAAUAUAAGAACUAUAUGAAUUUGUGCGAAUAUUGUGCGCGCUGGUUUGAGUGGGUAAUGACGUUCGCAUUAUGUUCUCGUUGACUUGCGAUUUCUACGUGGAUGAUCGUUCUGAUUUUGGGACAUUUCUGUUAAUUAGACUAUCUCGACCUAUAAUUUAACGUUUCUUAAGUCAGCAUCGGAAUAUAUAACUAGAAUAUAUGAUGAAUAUAAUUAAUUACACAGUUUGUUCCUUGAUACAUAAAACCGACAUUUAUUGGCCGUCGUACUGUCGCGUUAUUCGAUUUGUUUUCAAGCUCUAUUCAGUGAUUUGUCCAAAAUGAGAACACGGUAACGAAUUCUACAAUGUAGAAAAUGUGGAACAGAAGUAUAUAUGCCACAUUAAGUACGAGGCAGACUGAUAAAUCGAUUCCUACGUAUCUAGGUUUGGCCAUUUUCGUUGUAUUAGCAAUCUCGACGCCGGAAGAGUUGUACCCGAACGAUUAUGGAUUAGCUUCGUUUGAUGAAAUUGAUUUCGGAAUUUCUCAUUCGUGGUAAGAACCGGUUCUUGAAACAAAUUGAAAAACAAAACAAACCGCCCAUUUAAACUCGCGUAAAGCAGGACUCGUCGCGGCAAAAAUUCUCUUUCGUACUGAUUUUGUACAAAAAGAAAACAGUGAAUGCCACUAAAUAUUUAAGAGGCUUUGUAAAUCUCUCUGUAAGAAACGCGUAAAUGCUUGCCAUUAAUUUUAUAUCUUAAUUAUCGUGCUAUGUGUUCGAUCUUUCUUCGUGCGUACCUCGAACACUCGCGAUGAUACAUUCUGCGAGCAUGCACAUGCACGUGAAACGUCUACUGUGAAUUAGUAAAUAAUUAUAUUCGCGUGCCCUGCGAGAAAGAGGAAGAGUGAGAGAAAGAUAGAGAGAUUGAAAGCGAGAUUACAAGUGAGAUUGAGAGCGAGAUUGAGUGUGUGUGUGUGUGAGAGAGAGAGAGAGACUGAGAAAAAAAUUGGAAGAGAGAGAAUUAUUUUUUGUGAAAUUUAAAGUUUGGCGUGUGAACUCCGUGUAAAAGCCGAACGUUUCAGUUUAAUCAUGAAACGUCAAGAAAGAGAUUUGGAAGAACGAGGGAAAAUCUGAACGAGAGCGAGUGUUUAAUAUUUUUCAGGCAUUAUGGCGAUGUUUGCGUGAAAUUUAGGUAUGCUUUUACGCAAGUUGGCGUAUUGAGCGACUAUCGAAAGAAAUCUGGAAAAUUGCUACGCGCUGAAUUUUCUUUGCGAAUCUUGUUAAUCUUCAGUGAAGUAAACUUCCUAAUGACAUGCUUUCGGAUUACGAAUCAUUGUAAUCAUUGGAAGGUACUCCUUGGAUAUCGUCGACGGAAUCGAUGAGUGAAAUACAAGCUCCAAGUAGCUUGUAUAUGUUUUCGUACGCAGAGAAUCUGUUAAAGAAGUACAGAUUCAAACGUAGAAAACUUCGUGAAUAAUUCGCGUCACGUUUCUUCAGUGAUCACGGUCGGAUGAUUCAGUGACAGUGACGUUAAUCCCUUACUGCAGUUCUUACUAUUGAUUGACCAAGUGUACGAUAUCUUGCUUUGUAAUUCGAACUGACAUUGCCGCAUUCGCACUCGCAUUUCUGCUCUCUGACUAUUACACGACUACACUCUUUCCGCGAUCCUCGACGUGGUUUUUCGGAGUAAGAUCGAAUACCACAUAAGCGCGGAGUUUGAUACGCGUGCUGAGAUUAUAUCGAAUCACCAUCGAAACACAUGCAGUCCGUCGUUAAGCGAGUUAUGACGUAAGACUUAGCUUAGAGUUGAAAGAAAAAAAAACCGAGAUUACGAAGUACCAUUGAUUUACAGACGAGCCAUGUAUAGAGAUGUCACCGAUGAUCCAGUCGUUUGCGAUAAAUUCUAGGUAACUUUCUCGCAAUCGGGAGACCGAUCGAGCUUUAGGGAACGAGGGAAUUGUAUAGAGAGAAUGGUGGUAUCUUAUCAUAUCUAUAACACACGUGCUUAAAAAUUAGAGACGUACAGCAAGAGAAAGAAGCUUUUUUACUUGUGAAAAAAAAAACAAAGACAAAAAGUAGAGCUCUAUCCGAAGGCGGUGGAGGAGAGAUGUAUGUAAAGUACCGUGAAGAAACCAAAAAAGAAAAAAAAUUACCGUAAGCUGAUUUCUAAGUACGUAUUUUGCAACGCGCACGAAACUUACCGAGGUCGUGAGACAAUGACGACGUAAUUACACAAGUAUAUAAUUCUGUAAUAGUUAUUCGAUAAAAUAUAACACGCAAGACUACUUACACCACGUAACUCCUCAGUUUGUAAAGCGCCGCUCAUGAGCGGCGAUGAGAUCCUUCUCGCGAGGUUGAUUCGACUCCCCCGUCUCUCUCUCCUCUUCGUAAGCUGUUUCUCGUGCGAUCUCUCACGUUUCCCCGACAAAUAACACGGUCAAACACGCGGAUUUCAAGUUACUUUUAGAGCUAGGAGAGAAAACUAGUAGAAUUUGUAUAAUAAAAGACUCGUAAAGACUGCAUUUGUGCGGGUAGCCGAGCGACUCGAGAAAAUCGUCUCCUCGUGUUGGCUAUUACGUCAUUACGUGCACCGCGAUAGAAGUAAUGACAAAAUGACUACCAUUUCGCGGAGAAUCGCGCGAGAUGAGAUAAGUUGUGGCGCCCCACACGGGGCGCCGUGAAAUUUACGAGAGAAACGAAAGUAACAUAAUUCGUUCAUCGCGGAUUUAAUAAUACUGGUCAUUCGUAUCGUUAUUCUAAUACGUUAGAAGGGUGUUGAUUCGUCGUGAGAAACAGCGCGAGAGGGGUGCACUUCGAUUUUUAUUCUUACCAUGCCCAUUUGUACAUAGGCAUGCUCAAUCCUAGAAGAGCGGACACGCGCAUUGUGCAUGUGUAUAUGGUGUGUAUAUGCGCGCGCGCGCGCGCGUGUGUGUGUGCACGCGUGUCUGUAUAUGUGUGCGAGAAAAUCACGUAUACAUAAUAUUAUAAACUACGAAACGAACAAAUUAUUAUAUCCGACUUUAUACCUAUAUAUUAUUAAUUGACUCAAUGAAAGGGGUCGGGUGCAUGCCCCGACGACUAUUAUCGAUUUGAUUAGUAGAAACUAACGAAGAUUGGAGCGUACAAUUGAAAAUGAGAGAAAGAAAAUAAUAUCUAGCGAAACGAGACUACACAAAGAAACCCAGAACACUAAAAUGCGCGAUAAAAAUGCCUGAGAGCCAAGGGGUACCACUUUUGUCAAAUUUAGAGAGCCAAUUUAGGUUUACAACUAUAAUAGGGUGUGCGUGCGUGUGCACGUGUGCGUAUUGGAUGCAUGAAGAGGGUUGAAGAAAGAAAAAGGAACGCGAGAGAAUGCGUGUGCGAGCGAGCGAGCGACAUGAAACGGAGGAAAAGUUGCAAAAAGAGAAAGAAAGACAAGAUAUCGAGAUAUGAAAUGAAUUAUCGAUUAUUCUCGUAGAGGGAAGUUCAAUGUAGCGUUAGGCGAUCCUGUAAACUUGUAUUUAAGCUCACGAGCGACUCGUAUUCCGAUGUACAUGUGCUUCACACCUUGACAAAACGUGGGAAGCCACAAUUAUAGACCGUAUAUCGUCAUUUCGCCGAUUGAUCGUUCGAUCGCAUCACUUGCCCUCGGGCGUCCUGAUUAGAUUCUGUCCCUAGCGCUCUUUUCGAAAUGCACAAUCUCCAGCUGAAGUAGCAAAAGUCGCCUAUCUCGAGCAUUGUCCUUCGGAGCGAGUCAUGAGAUCGGUCGUAAGAUCGCGAGCAGUUUACGAUCUUAAUAUUAAAUGAAAAAAAAGAAUUAUCGCUGUUGGCGAAGUUGUCCAUCGCUCAGACGCAACCGCGACUGGACCUGUACAUUCUUAAUUUAUCAAUGAUGUACGUCCGAAUUUAUUUCCUUCGGGUAUAAGGGUGAGAAGGCGGGCGGCAAGCGAAGGAGCAGAAAAUGCAAGAGAAUGCGAAAGAAUGAGGGAAUGAGAGUGAGAAUGAAAGAAGAGAACACGAGAGUGUACGUGUGCGUAUGUGUGAGAGAGAAAGAGAGAGAGAGAGGGAGCGAAAGAGUGGGCGUUAGGGAAAGCGUGUCUUUUUUCGUUGAGCAAACGGAAGCAGGAGUAACAAGAAUAACGAGAGGACGAAAGAAUUUAAGCAGUACGUACGUUUAGUCGACGUUCUCGGCGGGAUCUUGGCCGGGAGCUCCGUGAACGUUUGUUUCUCCCUCGCUUCGUCUACGCUCGUGGAAGAAACUCGAGAAUUCGCGGCACGAGGUAACAUCGCACACCACACGAUAUAAGUGUAACAAUCCGUUUUCGUUUCCUCGCAUCAAUAUAGGCGUUCUCCCUCCGCGCGCGCGUUCGAACCGCGGCUCGCUGUUAAAAGCCACCGCCUCAAUCACGGAGUUCGCGGCAGGGGAUCGCGAGACGAUUAAGUAUAAAGCGUUAGUGACUGUAUCCAGUAUCAUAUAUCUGAUAAAAGAUACCCCCGAUGCCAGAGAUGGCGUGUGACAAUAAAGUGAUUCAAUGAU